ACACCUGUGCUUGCAAAAGUGGCAGAAGCACUGAGCAUCUUGUGACUAAUCUGGAAAAUUGUCUACUUCAAGCAAAGUGACUUUCAGUGUUUCAGGUAAGCUUCUAACCUCUUUUCCAGCUACAUGUGUGAUUUGGAAUGCACAUAUUUGUUCCUUCUUCCUGGUAAUCUUUCAACUCUAAGCUCUGCCAGGUACAGGACUUUCAGAUCAUGGCUUUAUGCUGAGAUCCAAGGAACAGAUUACAAUGGUCAGUCUGAAAAUUAGCACAUAGGACCUCUCUAAGUGCAGAAAGACCGCUAGAGAGAAACUGAAACUCAACUCAUUGCCAGACUCUGAUUUUCAAGUAAUAAUAGCAACAAUUUAUUAUUUGCUUACUAUAUGCCAGGCACUGUUUUAAAGCCAUUAUCCUGUUUUUCACAGGUAAGGGAACUGUGGCACAUAUAUGCUAAGUAACCUGUGCAAGAUUGCGCAGCUAACAGAUGUGAACUCAAUUAACUCUAUGUGGUUUUUCAAAUUAAUUUAUUCAUUAACUCACUCCCCUUAACACAAUUCAAAAUACUUAUGUUAAACAAAUUAUUAUAAUUUGUUGAUUUCAAAUCAAGAGCCUUUUAAUCACUAUCAUUUUUUUUUAAUCUUCAUCAUAGCACUUACAGUUGGCUCUGCUCCCUAGGCAUGGCCAAUGGCCAAGAAUCAUUCCAAGUCUCUGCUCCUGCUCUUCUCUCAACCCCAUCUCUACCUAUCAAAAUCCUAGACACCUUCAAGGUCCAUAUCAAACAUUCUCUUCUUUCUGAAACUUUCCUAGUCAUCUAGCUAGAUACAAUCUCUUAUCCCUCAUAUUUCUCUGUUGGGAAACUGUUAUGGUCUAGCUUUUAGUAGAUAUUAGGGUAAUUAUUUUAUCCUCACCUUCUACUCAACCAUAAGUUCCCUAGGGGCAGAAAUUAAGACACACUCCUCUUUGGAUCAUCUGCAGGGCCUAACAUAGUGUCUUGCAAAUAGUGGAUGCAGAAUAUAUGUUUACUGAAUUUUCAGUUGAGAACUCUGUGUACACGUUGCCAAGAAACAAAGAACAGCGAGAGAUGGUGAAAAAAAAUGUAAAGAGGAAGAGAGGUUAGAAUUGUAAAGAGCUUAAGAAAUCAGCCAGAAGGAAAUAUGUACAAGUACCCUUGCAUGGCAAGGGAAGCUAGGAAGAGUGUGGAAGCUAGGAACCAUGUGAAAAUCUAUUUGAUCAGAAAAACUGUUAGUGUUUUACAAAAUGAAGCUACUCCUCUCCUAUCUUGGAAGACAGAGUCAAUAAUGUUCAGUCUUCCAAAAUUAU
rnacentral:lncRNA from 1 species